rnacentral:tRNA from 1 species
GAGGGUUUAGCUCAGUGGUAGAGCACAUGCUCAGCAUGCAUGAGGUCCUGGGUUCGAUCCCCAGUACCUCCA